rnacentral:tRNA from 1 species
GGGAAUGUAGCUUAGUGGUAGAGUGCUUGACUAGUAUGCAUGAAGCCCUGGGUUCGAUUCCUCAGUACCA